rfam:Mycobacterium chubuense strain DSM 44219 MCHTDSM44219_contig000015, whole genome shotgun sequence.
CGCGGUCUUCGGUAGUGGCUGCCGGAACGAAAGCCGGCAGCUUCGACUGAUGGCCGUC